rnacentral:rRNA from 1 species
CCUACGGGGGGCAGCAGUGGGGAAUAUUGCACAAUGGGCGCAAGCCUGAUGCAGCCAUGCCGCGUGUGUGAAGAAGGCCUUCGGGUUGUAAAGCACUUUCAGCGGGGAGGAAGGCGUUAAGGUUAAUAACCUUGGCGAUUGACGUUACCCGCAGAAGAAGCACCGGCUAACUCCGUGCCAGCAGCCGCGGUAAUACGGAGGGUGCAAGCGUUAAUCGGAAUUACUGGGCGUAAAGCGCACGCAGGCGGUCUGUCAAGUCGGAUGUGAAACCCCCGGGCUCAACCUGGGAACUGCAUUCGAAACUGGCAGGCUAGAGUCUUGUAGAGGGGGGUAGAAUUCCAGGUGUAGCGGUGAAAUGCGUAGAGAUCUGGAGGAAUACCGGUGGCGAAGGCGGCCCCCUGGACAAAGACUGACGCUCAGGUGCGAAAGCGUGGGGAGCAAACAGGAUUAGAUACCCGAGUAGUC